UUAAGAAUACAAAACAAUAACAAUAUAAUAUCAUUCCCUUUCUUUCCCCCUUUUUUUUCAGCAACCACGGCAACAGCUUCAACGGAUGCGACCGAACCAGGCACCAUCUCGAAACAGGCAUCUUCAAUCAGGCACCAGGAGGAGGGCAGCCAUCUCACCGGACGCAGUCAUCUCAGGCUGGAGCAGCCACUCGAGCAUUGGCGCUGAAGGCCUCUCGCCGCCAAUCCACAGGAGCCAGCCGCCAGGACCAGUCAUCUUCAAGCGGCAACAGGAACAGGGCAGCCACCGUAUUGACCCAGUGGACGCUGUGAUCCCUGGCUGGAGCAGCAACUCAAGUGCUGGGCGCCGAGAGUCCGCCAACAGGGCGGUCGGCGCUGGAGUUCCCGCCGCCAGUCCACAGGAAUUAGCCGCCAGGACCAGGAGCAGCUGUCCUCUCAGGAAUAAUGACAGCAGAGCUGCCGCACAGUAUGCGGAGAAGCAGUCCACCUCCAACGACGAAGCAUCUAAUUGGAACAGGUCCGUCAUCGCAGCAGACGUGUGGCCCCGGACACCAGAGGCCGAAUCAGCUGCCAAGUGGCGGUCGCCCGAGGCCGCACCAGAAGCAGCCGGCGCAGGCACAUGUGUUAUUGACUGUGUAAUGAAGACAAUCAAGCAGCCGACGGAAGCAUGGGAGCCGACAACCAUAGAAUUGCAGUGGCCAAUGGAACCGGUAGCAGCAUCAGGCAUUGGCCGCAAAGCGGCAGUCACACCACGCUGCAAACAAACUGCAGCAGAAGCAGGCUGUGAAGCCACCCGGAGACCAGCACCCGGAGCAGGCCGCAAACUGCAGGCACUGCGUCCUUCAAGUAGCAGCCAAAUUUAGGAACAGCAGCCGACGCCAAUCAGCAGCCCCAAGCAGCAGCCAUCGAAGCGCCUCGCCCUUCGUAUGCGACCCAGUUCAGCGCCGCCCUGUGCAAAGGCCAGCAUUCUAGCAUCAGUCAGUGGCAGAACAUGAUCCGGCGGUUCAGCGCCGCCUUGCGUUGGAGGAGCUGCAGGACCGGAGCGGCAGGCAGGUCGGCUGCAGUCACGUGAAGAGGCAUACAAGCCGCAGCAGGAUCGGGCUGGUGAGGCCACCCGGAGCGGGCCGCUAGUUGCAGGCCCUGCGUUUCCAUUUCUUCUUUCCCUCAAGCUGCAGCCAAGCUCAGGAGCAGCAGCCGCGUGCAGCCAUCCAGCAAUCGACUCCAAACAGCAGCCCCAUGCAACAGCCAACGAAGCGCCUCGCCUCUCGCAUGCGGUUCGCCCGUCAAUAACAGCAGGAAAACAUCCGUGCCAUUCAGCGCACUGACGAUCGCCCAGAACAGCUUAUGCAUGUUGCAGUGACCU